ACUUUUCUGAGAGGAGGUCCAAUCAAGCAAAAAUAAAAUCACCUGUAUGGGCUUACCACAAUGGGUGACUUGGAUCUUGGGUUCUAUGUGGGGCAUGUUCAGUCGAGUUUUCACAAUGAAAGGCUGGCUUUUUCACAGUAUACUCCUCAGCUUUGGGCCUAAAGCAUCACCUCGGACCUGAAGUUUGCUGUUGCUCCUGUCAUAGCUCGACACGCAAGGACUCCUCCCAAGGCCUUGUACGUGUCUUUGUCAGCCCACAUCUCAGCAUUCGGACAAGCUGCUAUCGGACAAGGGUGCUUCCCAGCCAUUACUUCCACCUGUGUGACAACAGGCGGUCUUAUCUGCUCUUGUGAUGUGAGCCUAGCUGAGUUGCUGAUUAAAAGACAUGGGGUCGUGCCACCUCUCC